rnacentral:rRNA from 1 species
UACAGAGGGUGCGAGCGUUAAUCGGAAUUACUGGGCGUAAAGCGUGCGUAGACGGCUAUCUAAGUCGGGUGUGAAAGCCCCGGGCUCAACCUGGGAAUUGCAUUCGAGACUGAAUAGCUAGGGUGCGGUAGAGGGAAGCGGAAUUUCCGGUGUAGCGGUGAAAUGCGUAGAUAUCUGGAGGAACACCGGUGGCGAAGGCGGCGUUCUGGACUGCUACUGACACUGAGGAACGAAAGCCAGGGGAGCAAACGGG